rnacentral:rRNA from 1 species
AGCGAACGCUGGCGGCAGGCCUAACACAUGCAAGUCGAACGAACCCUUCGGGGUUAGUGGCGGACGGGUGAGUAACACGUGGGAACGUGCCUUUAGGUUCGGAAUAACUCAGGGAAACUUGUGCUAAUACCGAAUGUGCCCUUCGGGGGAAGGAUUUAUCGCCUUUAGAGCGGCCCGCGUCUGAUUAGCUAGUUGGUGAGGUAAUGGCUCACCAAGGCUACGAUCAGUAGCAGGUCUGAGAGGAUGACCAGCCACAUUGGGACUGAGACACGGCCCAAACUCCUGCGGGAGGCAGCAGUGGGGAAUUUUGCGCAAUGGGCGAAAGCCUGACGCAGCCAUGCCGCGUGGAUGAUGAAGGUCUUAGGAUUGUAAAAUCCUUUCACCGGUGAAGAUAAUGACUGUAGCCGGAGAAGAAGCCCCGGCUAACUUCGUGCCAGCCGCCGCAGUAACAC